rnacentral:rRNA from 1 species
AACGUAGGACGCGAGCGUUAUCCGGAGUUACUGGGCGUAAAGCGCGGGCAGGCGGUCUGACAAGUCUGAUGUGAAAUCUCCGGGCUUAACCGGGAGAGGCCAUUGGAAACUGACAGGCUGGAGGGCAGUAGAGGUAGGCGGAAUUCCGGGUGGAGUGGUGAAAUGCGUAGAGAUCCGGAGGAACACCAGAGGCGAAGGCGGCCUACUGGGCUGCACCUGACGCUGGGCCGCGAAAGCCAGGGGAGCGAACGGG